UACGUAGGGUGCAAGCGUUGUCCGGAAUUAUUGGGCGUAAAGAGCUCGUAGGUGGUCUGUCGCGUCGGCUGUGAAAACUCGGGGCUCAACCCCGAGCCUGCAGUCGAUACGGGCAGACUUGAGUGCGGUAGGGGAGACUGGAAUUCCUGGUGUAGCGGUGAAAUGCGCAGAUAUCUGGAGGAACACCGGUGGCGAAGGCGGCAUCCUGGACCGGCAUUGACGCUAAAGCGCGAAAGCCAGGGGAGCAAACGGG
rnacentral:rRNA from 1 species